rnacentral:tRNA from 1 species
GCCACCUUAGCUCAGCUGGCUAGAGCAGUCCCUUCGUAAGGGAAAGGUCAUCGGUUCAAGUCCGAUAGGUGGCU